rnacentral:lncRNA from 1 species
GUCAAAAUGUGAAGACUAGUUGCUCAAAUAUUGCACCAUGUAGAGAACUAAGUUAAUAAUCAAUCUUUGGAGCAAAGGUUUUCAGUUCGAAUCUUUGGGUGCAACCCUUGAAGGUCCAGGAUUGUAGAUAAACUGUUUUGUCAUUAUGACCCCAGAUCGAAGUUCCCGCUGUUUUGUCAUUAUGACCCCAGAUCGAAGUUCCCGUUUUAGUGGCUGUCUUGAUCCUCAAGAAAGUCUCUACUGUGUAAACACUUACUGUAUACUAACUCUGCUGCUGGACUUUGCACUGAGCUCAAGGGAGUGACUGCGAUACAACAGCUUCUUUAGCUAU